ensembl:lncRNA
UGUAUUUAUGUUUUAGUUCAUUUAAUAUUAUCUGAAAAGAUCUACAGCUUGACACAUUACUUCCACACAGCAGCUACGCCAGGAGCCACAGUGCUAACAACUGCUAGCAAACUUUGUAUUGGUUUUAAGCACACAAUGUAAGAUUUAGAAUAGUGCUAGUUAACGUAAAAUAAUGUUAGUAAGUGAAUUUAAUAUUGGUUAAAUAACCUGAUUCUAGUUGACCUGCUAGCAUGUUUACUGGAUUUAAUGUUAGCUAGCUUGCUAGUGAAGCCAUCUACUGGUUUUAAUUAAACAAUAAUAUUUAGCCUAACAUUAGCUAACUUAGCCAAGUCAAAAUGCUACAGCUUGAGGUAAAAUUAGCUAAACAAAGCUAACUUAGUUCUGUGUUUUUGCUCAUAUGUAAUGGCGAUGGAUGAUGAUGAGGACGUAUCUUCAACAUCUACCACAUAUCGCUAAUUGAACGCAGUGUAAUGUAUUCUUUCAGUAAGCAUGGAAAAAGUGUGUGCGUGUGUGUGAGUGUGUGUGUGUGUGGUACACUGUGAUGCAGAACCAGGCUUUUAUGAACACGGCUCUGUCUGAGACUCCUGUUAAUCUCAGCUUAAACCUCAUUUCUUUCACAGAGCAUGCAAUGUCUGCUAAUUCUCCCUAAAUCCUUCCAACACACUUUCCCUUCUGCUGUAAAUAAAUAUAAAUACUUUACACUACCACUCUGACCCAGAGAUAUUCUGACCACGCCAACCCAGUAAAACAGGAACUUCGACCACACCCAAUACACACAGACAUUCUGACCACACCCACCCACUAAUGCUUACAUUCUGACCACAUCCAUCCACUAAGGCAUACAUUCUGACCACACCCACCCACUAACACUUAUAUUCUGACCACACCCACCCACUAACACUUACAUUCUGGCCAGUCCUACCCACAAACCCAUACAAGCUGACCACACCCACUAACAUAAACAGACACUCUUAUUAUACCCACCCACUGCAGCUAUUUCCAUCAAAUAAAAACAUUCACAGCAAAAUUGAAUGCAUAUAUUAAAAAUAUAUAUUGAAGAUAUUUUAUGUGAAUAUAAAAUUGGUAGUAGACUGGCUAGUGGUUAGUAGACUGGCUACACAGCUACACAUCAUCAGCUGGGCUUAAUUGGCAAGUUGCUUUAC